rnacentral:tRNA from 1 species
AAGUUUUGUAGUGUAGCAGCAUGCCAGAUUGCAAACCUGGUGGCGCAGGAUAAUACUUGCCGAAACUUCCC